GUGAUGGUGUGAUGAUGGUGUGGCGAUGGUGUGGUGUGGUGAUGGUGUGAUGGUUUGAUGGUGUGGUGAUGGUGUGGUGAUGGUUUGAUGGUGAUGGUUUGAUGGUGUGGUGAUGUGAUGUUGAUGGUUUGAUGAUGAUGUGAGGUGAUGAAGUGAUGAUGGUGAGAUGGUGAUGAAGUCAUGAUGGUGAUGGUUUGAUGGUGUGGUGAUGGUGUGAUGAUGGUGAUGGUGAGGUGAUGAAGUCAAGAUGGUGAUGGUGAGGUGAUGGUGUGGUGAUGAUGAGGUGAUGAAGUGAUGAUGGUGUGGUGAUGGUGUGGUGAGGUUACUGUGUGGUGAUGAUGGUGAUGGUGUGACCAUUUUUACAUUUCUCCUGUGUUCCUAAACAAAUCUCUAG
ensembl:lncRNA